rnacentral:rRNA from 1 species
CUGGCUCAGGAUAAACGCUGGCGGCGCACAUAAGACAUGCAAGUCGAACGGAAGUCGUUAUAAAAAGGAUUGAAGAUUUAUCUGAUUGAGAUUUUAUAACAAUGGCUUUAGUGGCGGACUGGUGAGUAACGCGUGAGCAACCUGCCUACUAGAGGGGAAUAACAGUGAGAAAUCACUGCUAAUACCGCAUAUGCCAUGAACAUCACAUGAUGAAAAUGGGAAAAGAGUAAUCUGCUAGUAGAUGGGCUCGCGUCUGAUUAGAUAGUUGGUGGGGCAACGGCCUACCAAGUCGACGAUCAGUAGCCGGACUGAGAGGUUGAACGGCCACAUUGGGACUGAGAUACGGCCCAGACUCCUACGGGAGGCAGCAGUCGGGAAUAUUGCGCAAUGGAGGAAACUCUGACGCAGUGACGCCGCGUAUAGGAAGAAGGUUUUCGGAUUGUAAACUAUUGUCGUUAGGGAAGAUACAAGACAGUACCUAAGGAGGAAGCUCCGGCUAACUACGUGCCAGCAGCCGCGGUAAUACGUAGGGAGCAAGCGUUAUCCGGAUUUAUUGGGUGUAAAGGGUGCGUAGACGGGACAACAAGUUAGUUGUGAAAUCCCUCGGCUUAACUGAGGAACUGCAACUAAAACUAUUGUUCUUGAGUGUUGGAGAGGAAAGUGGAAUUCCUAGUGUAGCGGUGAAAUGCGUAGAUAUUAGGAGGAACACCGGUGGCGAAGGCGACUUUCUGGACAAUAACUGACGUUGAGGCACGAAAGUGUGGGGAGCAAACAGGAUUAGAUACCCUGGUAGUCCACACCGUAAACGAUGGAUACUAGGUGUAGGAAAUGAUUUCAUUUUCUGUGCCGUCGCAAACGCAAUAAGUAUCCCACCUGGGGAGUACGGCCGCAAGGUUGAAACUCAAAGGAAUUGACGGGGGCCCGCACAAGCAGUGGAGUAU